AUUGAACGCUGGCGGCAUGCCUUACACAUGCAAGUCGAACGGCAGCACGGGUGCUUGCACCUGGUGGCGAGUGGCGAACGGGUGAGUAAUACAUCGGAACGUACCUUAUCGUGGGGGAUAACGCAGCGAAAGCUGUGCUAAUACCGCAUACGCCCUGAGGGGGAAAGCGGGGGAUCGAAAGACCUCGCGCGAUUAGAGCGGCCGAUGCCUGAUUAGCUUGUUGGUGGGGUAAAAGCCCACCAAGGCUACGAUCAGUAGCUGGUCUGAGAGGACGAGCAGCCACACUGGGACUGAGACACGGCCCAGAAUCCUACGGGAGGCAGCAGUGGGGAAUUUUGGACAAUGGGGGCAACCCUAAGCCAGCAAUGCCGCGUGAGUGAAGAAGGCCUUCGGGUUGUAAAGCUCUUUUGUCAGGGAAGAAACACCGGCUCUAACACAGUCCGGGAAUGACGGUACCUGAAGAAUAAGCACCGGCUAACUACGUGCCAGCCGCCGCAGUAA
rnacentral:rRNA from 1 species